GUCGCUUCACUGCUCUACACCUCAGCUUCCUGGCCGAGCCCAACAGGAAGGAUCAUCCCCGCCCAGGAUGGCAGGGCAGGAGGAAGCACCUGUACCCCCAAAGCUGGGAGGGAAGGAUGUGCAAGAGGCUAGAAGAAAAAAUGAGGAAUGUGAAGGCACAUGCUUGGAAAGUGAAAAGCCUACUGGAAUGAAAAGGGCAUCAUUGGCUACUCUGUGAGGACUCUGAACUGGAAAUCAUCCCCACCCUGGGUUGCCACAGCAAAUGUUUAAUCUCAGGCUAGUCUUCCCUUGUAGCUGCCCUGCGUGCCUUACCACGACUCCUGCCCCCACACCCCAGUCCUCAUGGUGUGCCUCAAAUCUUAAUACUAGUCUGAGCUGAAUAAAAACCAAAUUGGAGCAUUUGCAAGGAUGAUGGUAGAAUCCUAGAAUCUCAAAGCUGGAAGGGGCAUAGGGUCAUUGGACACAGUUCUCUACCCAAUGCUGUGUCCCCUCCACCAAGGCCCCGUGAAAUGUCUGCCCAGCCUUUGCUGGAGAGCUGUGAGUUAUGGGAAGUGCACAGCCUUCUGAGUCAGCCAGUUCCAAUUUAGAGGUGGGCUCUAGACUGGUCACUGACCUAACGCUGCUGUGCAGGGGCAGGGAAGAGGGGUGCACGUGGGGCCUCUAAGCAAGUGUCCUGGCGCCCCAGCAAAUGAGGGUAGGGGGAUAUGGGAAGGCUGGAGAAGAGACGGG
rnacentral:lncRNA from 1 species